rnacentral:rRNA from 1 species
GGUUAAGCGACUAAGCGUACACGGUGGAUGCCCUGGCAGUCAGAGGCGAUGAAGGACGUGCUAAUCUGCGAUAAGCGCCGGUAAGGUGAUAUGAACCGUUAUAACCGACGAUUUCCGAAUGGGGAAACCCAGUGUGACUCGUCACACUAUCAUUAACUGAAUCCAUAGGUUAAUGAGGCGAACCGGGGGAACUGAAACAUCUAAGUACCCCGAGGAAAAGAAAUCAACCGAGAUUCCCCCAGUAGCGGCGAGCGAACGGGGAGGAGCCCAGAGCCUGAAUCAGCAUGUGUGUUAGUGGAAGCGUCUGGAAAGGCGCGCGAUACAGGGUGACAGCCCCGUACACAAAAGCGCAUGUGCUGUGAGCUCGAUGAGUAGGGCGGGACACGUGGUAUCCUGUCUGAAUAUGGGGGGACCAUCCUCCAAGGCUAAAUACUCCUGACUGACCGAUAGUGAACCAGUACCGUGAGGGAAAGGCGAAAAGAACCCCGGCGAGGGGAGUGAAAAAGAACCUGAAACCGUGUACGUACAAGCAGUGGGAGCACCUUCGGGUGUGACUGCGUACCUUUUGUAUAAUGGGUCAGCGACUUAUAUUCUGUAGCAAGGUUAACCGAAUAGGGGAGCCGCAGGGAAACCGAGUCUUAACCGGGCGUUAAGUUGCAGGGUAUAGACCCGAAACCCGGUGAUCUAGCCAUGGGCAGGUUGAAGGUUGGGUAACACUAACUGGAGGACCGAACCGACUAAUGUUGAAAAAUUAGCGGAUGACCUGUGGCUGGGGGUGAAAGGCCAAUCAAACCGGGAGAUAGCUGGUUCUCCCCGAAAGCUAUUUAGGUAGCGCCUCGUGAAUUCAUCUCCGGGGGUAGAGCACUGUUUCGGCUAGGGGGCCAUCCCGGCUUACCAACCCGAUGCAAACUGCGAAUACCGGAGAAUGUUAUCACGGGAGACACACGGCGGGUGCUAACGUCCGUCGUGAAGAGGGAAACAACCCAGACCGCCAGCUAAGGUCCCAAAGUCAUGGUUAAGUGGGAAACGAU